CCCUAGUGGUCCAGUGGCUAAGACUCUGCACUCCCAAUGCAGGAUACCUGGGUUCAAUCCCUGAUUAGAGA
rnacentral:tRNA from 1 species